AUCCUGUGGCGAGAGGAUUCAGUCUGGGGCGUCGGUCGUGCAGAUCGGAAGUCAGCAGGGCUUCCCCGAGCGGGGGCCGUCCGGUCGCACGCAGCGCCGAUGCGCCCGACGCAUUUGUCUCUCGUCCGAAGGACGCCGCAGCCGGCUGGGUAGUGCAAGCGCGACGACCUGAGGGGCGGAAGAUGGCAGGUGGCCGCUGGCGCGUCUCGUGCGCGUCGGCGGUUGUUAGCCGUUCCGCCAGUGGUACGUCACCCGGCCGAGGUGUCGCGAGGCCCUCACGGGCCUCAACGCCUCCUCCCCAGAGAUGCGGGUCAGAGUGUCGCAGGCGGAAGCCGUCGUCCCGUUCGCACCCCUCAGGGGUGGUCAGGCGAACGGAAGCCGCUGUUGGUGAUGCCGGACCCGUUGGAGGUUGGAGGCUUGCGGCGAGUAGGUCGGUCACCCACCCGACCCGUCUUGAAACACGGACCAAGGAGUCUAACAUGUGCGCGAGUCAAUGGGUCUUGAAUAGGCCCAUGGGCGCAAUGAAAGCAAAGGACGGCCUCAGCGCCGUCCGAGUUGGGAUCCCCUUCCUCGAGGAGGGG
rnacentral:rRNA from 1 species